rnacentral:lncRNA from 1 species
UUAAAACAAUAACAGACCUGAAAUAUUUCAGUUGGUGUGCAAUGAAUCUAAAAUAUAUGAAAGUUUAAUUUUUAUCAUUACAUUAUGGAAAAUAAUGAACUUUUUCACAAUAUGCUAAUUUUUUGAGAAGGACCUGUAUAUGCAUCUAGUUUUGUUUCCUUUCGUUACUUCUUUCACCAUACAAACUGUGGCAUAAGUCCUAAAACAUUUUGUUAUCAGAAGCAUUCCAAAAACAUUUAAAUGUUAACCCUGCAAGAAAAGAAUGUUAGUGAAAUAUGAUUACUUCAAAUUUACUUCGUAGUAUUUGCGGUGGAACUUAAUUAAAUAUAACCAGCAUUUAUAAGAAUUAUCUUGUAGCAAAAAACUUUCUGUAAAUACAUAAGCUAUGGGUUCAAGAAGCCUGCAAUAAUCAAAUGUUUCCCCCUUGUUUAGGGUGCACGUAAUCUUAACCCAGUCCCAUAUCAUGCCGAAUAUAUGGGCCACAAACUACACCUUGAUCAAAAUGAGAAGCUUGUGAUGUUCGGUGUAACGCACAUUUUGGCAGUUGAUGGCUACAGGAGCAAAAUUAUUGCCAAUGCUACAAUGCCGGUGAAAAACAACCUCGUAAUUUAUGAAGAAGUUUACAGACCUGCUGUAGUUAACUAUGGCAUGUGGGACCAGCUCAGGGUUGACCGUGGUAGGGAAUUUUACAUGUCCCUAUACAUGCAAGAGAAGCUGUCAAGACACAGACACAACCUCAGCAGACAACCAUACCUCCAAACAGCUUUAACAAUGGUGAGGUUUUUGCAAUGCUGAUAACAGUUAUAAGACUACUACAACCAAUAUAAAAAUAUGUAAUUAAUAAUACAUAUGUGCAUUUCAAACUGGCAAUUUAUUUUCCUUAUUAGUUCAUACAUUCUUCACUGUGUUUCAUAUAAUAUGAAACAUUGUUUUUCAGAAUCUUAGAAAGGAUUUGGCCUGAAGUGAACAAUUGGGUGAACUACCCAUUGAAACAGGCCCUGGUGCACCUGCUAGACCAAGAAGUCAUCAAGAUGGAAGACAGUAUGACUAAAUUCUGCACUUCAAACUUGGCAUAUCAGUUAAGCCAAAUUGGACUAAAUAGAGUAGUGCAGGCAUGGAAUGCUCAUAGGAUCCCAGGUAUGCUCUGAGGACUUUACAAUAUUUUUCUGAAUAGGCACUUUAAAAUCACGGCACAUUCACUUUCAGGGCCCAUUCACUUUGAUAGCUGCUGUUUGCCAUGCUUAAUUGUUUUAGGCCGUAGAAUACCCAAAGAACUUGCAGCAAGUGGAUGUCCAUCAAAAAUUUCAGAUGAGCUGCUGCCCAAUGCCUCUGUUGUGGCAAAUAUAUACGAGCGGGAGUUGGGAUCGUCGCUGACUUGGAUGUCUACCUUUGGAACGGACCCCUUUUCCUCUGAGGAGGACAGAUGUCAUGCAGAGCAGGACUUUGUAGAAAAGUAUUCAGACAUCUCUCUACUUUUCAAUCAAGCAGUGAACAGUGAAUAUAGCCUUUUUCAGGAUGCAUUUCUUUACCUCAUAAAUGUAACCCAAAGAUAUGUAUGAAAAGUGACAUCAAUUCUCUAUUUUUUUUUUUAAGCAGUGAAGUCUUAAUUAGGCAGUAUUAAUUAGGCAUGUAGUAGACUUCUGCUGUGAAGUCUAUAAAAUCAGCCAGGGUAUACAAAUAAUGGAUUAAAUUUAUGUAUGCAUGUAUUUAGCUGCCACCAUGCCCAAAUCUCAGUUGAAUAAACAGACGUCUAUUUUUGCCAAGAACUCUGUUGUUUUUAAAAUUUCUUGUUCAAACUCUUCAAUUCAAAGACAUAAAUAUAUUAAACAUUUUGCUUCAGUUUGUAUUUUAGAAACAAAAAAAAAAAAAAAAACAAGUUGUGUAAAAUUGUAUUGGAUAAUACAAUAAACAGAUUGGAUGCAAAACAAAAUGAAAUAACCAUAUGGAAUGAUGCACAUCUAACUGUGCACUAGAACUGCAUAUCUUGAGAUGAAGGACAAAGAAACAACAGUAAAACGCAAUUGUGCAACGUUUGAUAAUACUAGUA